UGUGACGGAGCCUCCCGGCGCAGCAGCACUGCCCAUCGCGCUCAUGGCGGCGCGGCGGGGCACGGACGAGAUGCGGGACCGCGUGGUGCUGGGCGAGUUCGGCGUGCGCAACGUCCACACCACCGACUUCCCCGGGAACUACCCCGGCUACGAGGACGCCUGGGACCAGCGGCGCUUCGAGGAGGCGUUCCGCGUGGACGUCAUCCGUGAGGAAGAGGACGCCCUGGAGUUCGACAUGGUGGGCAUCGACGCCGCCAUCGCCAACGCCUUCCGCCGCAUCCUGCUCGCCGAGGUGCCAACGAUGGCUGUAGAGAAAGUCUUUGUGUACAACAACACAUCCAUUGUGCAGGAUGAAAUUCUGGCUCAUCGGUUGGGCCUCAUCCCUAUCCGAGCUGACCCUAGGCUCUUUGAGUACAGAAACCAAGGAGAUCAGGAAGGCACUGAAAUUGAUACUCUGCAGUUUCAGCUGAAAAUCAAGUGCAAACGAAACCCUCAGGCUGCCAAGGAAUCAUCUGAUCCUGAUGAACUAUAUUUCAAUCAUAAAGUGUACAGUAAACACAUGACAUGGGUGCCCUUGGGGAAUCAGACAGACCUUUUCCCAGAUGCUGACUUCCGACCUGUUCAUGAUGACAUCCUCAUUGCACUGCUGAGACCUGGACAGGAAAUAGAUGUGCUUAUGCACUGUGUCAAGGGUAUAGGUAAGGAUCAUGCCAAGUUUUCUCCUGUGGCCACAGCCAGUUAUCGACUGCUUCCUGACAUUACUCUCCUGCAGCCUGUUGAGGAUGAGGCAGCUGAGACAUUGCAGAAGUGCUUCUCCCCUGGGGUCAUUGAGAUCCAGAAUAUCAAUGGAAAAAAGGUGGCAAGAGUAGCCAAUGCACGGCUGGACACAUUCAGCAGAGAAGUUUUCCGACAUGAGGGUCUGAAAAACCUCGUGCGCCUGGCAAGAGUACGGAACCAUUACAUCUCAUCCAUGCAUUCAGAACGCGGUGGGUAACUACUUGCUUUGGGAUUGAAUCUCUUGGUGCUUCCUGCUGGCAAAGGGAGCUGCUUCUCUGUCUGUGAAGAUCUGGCUUGUUGCUGUGAGGUGCAAGGGAAGUUUCAGUGGAGUCGACGGGUAUCUUGCCUCCAGAUGUGCUAGUGAGUGAAGCCAUCAAGAUCCUGAUGGGAAAGUGUCAGCGUUUCCUCAAUGAGCUGGACUCUGUGUCUAUGGAGUGACCGGGCUGUAGCUGGGAAAGCAGAAACCUGCACUGCUGUUCUGGGCUUCCUGCACCUGCCUCUAGGGGGGAUUCCUCUUCCAUAGGCAGGAGGCUCGUUAGGGGCUUCUUGCUAGAAGUCCAAGGACUAUCUCUUUGGGUUUUUCUGUUGGUAAUGAGCUGUAGUGAGAAGAUGCACUAAAAUAAAGGCUUUUUUUAAAAAAGCUGUCUCCUGUGCCAUUCACAAUUGUGAAACCAUAAUACAUGGAGAAGAGAUGGUAGCAUGUCUAAAGAUGAGUAACAGCAUUUAUUUUAGAUGGUAUGCAGUGAGGAGGACUGAUAGGGCAGCGUCAUAAAGCACUUCACAGCAGGUCAGUGAGGUUCAGUAAGUUGCUGUCAGAGCACGGCUGUUUUGUGGGUGUUUCAGACCAGAUCAGGGAUGGUUAAUAUGGUAUAGAAAAGGCUGUACUGGCAGAGGACUGGAACACCUCUCCCAUGAAGAAACAGAGUGCUGGGAUUGUUCAGUCUGGAGAACAAGAAAGCUCCAGGGAGACCCUGUUCUGGCCUUUUAGUAUCUAAAGGGGGCAUGGAGAAAGACUUUACCAUGGUCUGUAGUGACAGGCUAAGGGCCAACAGUUUUGAACUGGAAGAAGGUAGACUUAUAUUGAACAUUAGGUAUUUUUUACAAUGAGGGUAGAGGUAAGUUGUCACAGGUUGCCCAGAGCUGUGAAUGCCCCAUCCCUGGAAGUGUUUGAGGCCAGGUUACUUGCGGCAUGUUAAGAGUUGAAAAUGUCUGGGAGUAUUGUUGUGUCCCAGUUGCUGAAGUCAAUGCACGCUAUAGUGCCGGACCUCAGCAAGUAAUGAAAGUUCUGUUUCCUUGGGGUAGAAUUACUUAAGAGUGUAAACAUCCUCUUAGGCUGAAUAUGCUGUAGGGAGGGGAUACACGUGGCAUCCUGGCUCCAACCCCAACCGUCCUAUGCCAUGCUGCAGACCCAGGCAUAUGGUCCAUGUGCCUAUCACAUGUUAUCACUAUCUAUCUAUCUGCUUUUCAUUGCUACUACUUCACAUGCUUAUGGGACAGACCCUUGAAAAGCCUAAGGGUUUUGCUUUGAUAGCACAUACCCCUCAAGCUGUAAGCUGAGACCUAGAAUUAAAAUAAACUAGCAGUGACAAAUAAGUACUUUAAAAAUGCAAUUUCACCUAAUUAAACUAUAUAGUCUGGAAUGGUUCAUCCCCUCCCUGACAACGUAUUAACCACCAGCAAAGGUGUCCCCUUUUUGGUAGCUGGAAUAAGGAAUGCUGAGAAAUCUCCAGGCAGGUAGUCUGGUCAGACCAGAGGCCCCCAGAUCUUAUUGAAACAGAUAAAAGAAUAAAAAUGAAACAUGACACCAUGUGUAUGAAACUGGAAUAGCUUUAUUUGACAUUCAGGUGUAACACAGCCAGUUCAGAGACAGCUUCAGAUUUAAACGUUCCUACAAAAAAGGUUUAAAAUCCAUUUUACAAAAACCCCUUGUGUCUAGCAUGAAGUCACAGAAUGUUAAAAAUAUCACAACACAAUAAAUACACCCAGCCUUUGCUAGAGUCAGGAGCCAUGUUAGCUCAGAGGUUAAAAAAGUCUGAGGCUAGGAAAAAAGUGGAGGGUGCUGGUGGAACAGCAGGGGCAGGAAGGAGGGUGAGUGGAUGCCCAAGGCCUGCUCUUCCUAUCUGGACUCUCACACCUCCCAGCCCCAGCCUUUUUGUCCAGUCUGUCCAUGUGGAGACAUCACUUCUCCACCUACCACAGUUUAUUACUUGUUCUGUCUCCUGGAUGGCAAAACUGCCAGCUAGCUCUGGACAGACCCUCCUAGCUCCUGUGGUAACUCUAGGAUAGAUUGUGUAUAUUUGUCAUGUAAGAAGAACCAGCUUUGCAGACUGGAGUGGCUUCAUAAGAGUCCCACCACAUCUAAAACCCAGUUUCUGACCUGGCUCCCUCCUGUAAACUGCAGUAUAAAGCCCGCCCCUCCUGCCCCACCAUGCAAUUCUCUGGGAAGUACCAGACUGGGUAAAAACAGGGGCUACUGUCACCUCCACUGCAACAGGGCAAGAAGAUCCCUUUUGGACUGCAGGUACUUCAGGUAUUGGUCCAGAUUUUAUUUACCCUGCGCUGGCCAAGUUCUACAGGGCAUGGAAAAAUGAAAAAAAAAAUUAAGAAAAAAAUAUGUCCUGCUCCCCCUGAGAGAUGUCCAAGAAAGGCUGGCACAAAGUAAAAGCCUUCCAUUUGGCUCUGGGUAGAACAAGCUGUAUGAUCGUAUCUAUACAUACAUAUGUAUAUAUAUGACAGUGUCUGCCUCUUUCUAGAGAGCAGUUGCACCUUAGGAAGGCUGAUCUCACAGGAGAUCCUAGAGCACUGCUAGGCUUCCUGGCCCUUAGCCCAAGGCUCAGCAUCCUGGAGGGAAACAGAUUCAGCAGAAUUCCAGUCCGCUAGGGACAAGUGCUGAUAAGCGUGACAGGAGUGUCCGAUGUGUUCCCUACAAAGCCUGGCUACUAGCACCCAGGGGAAGAUUACAUUAGGGUAGCCCCUUUUCACAUGGCACACUACUCUGCCUUUUGCAUUAAUCCUAAACCCCAAAGGCUGAAGAGGUGGAGCAAGAGUGACCCAAGGCUACAAGAUUAUCAGGCUUUACCCUAACAAGGUCUAUGGACUCAGCUCCCACCUUGCAGAGAAGCAGAGGU